rnacentral:lncRNA from 1 species
UUGCCUCAGACCUGGUGCCUAUCUCAAUCUUCUUAGCAAUCAACAUUCAUCAUCUAUCCAACAUCUGUAGAUAGCCGAAUAUCUGAACUAGCUGAUCCCUGACUCCAAUCAGGAACCUGUUUCAUCCUUCAGAGAAUUGGUCCAAUCCCACCAGUGCCGAUCUCGUUAGCAUCCUUAUUUCAAAAUUCAAAAGUAUUCGUGAUAUUUAACCAG